rnacentral:rRNA from 1 species
GACGUAGGGCGCGAGCGUUGUCCGGAUUUACUGGGCGUAAAGAGCGCGCAGGCGGUCGUUCAAGUCGCGUGUGAAAGCCCCCGGCUCAACUGGGGAGGGUCACGCGAUACUGGUCGACUCGAAGGCAGGAGAGGGUAGUGGAAUUCCCGGUGUAGUGGUGAAAUGCGUAGAUAUCGGGAGGAACACCAGUGGCGAAGGCGACUACCUGGCCUGUUUCUUGACGCUGAGGCGCGAAAGCUAGGGGAGCAAACGGG